CGUUAGCUGGACUCGAACUUUCCCCUAAUUAUCAAAGAGCACUCGAGAAGAAACACCGAGCGGAGGAGUCGGUACCGCGACAGAUGCAAUUAUAGUUAGUUACGGGAACUAAUCUACUGCAGCUGCUUGUACUUCGUCAUCGAGACUUUGUAAUGUAAUUUAGAAAGCCACCACGGCAUCUGUGUCCAAUUACACGACCAGCCGAAUAUCCACAAAACCGGAUAAAACUCGGUGACCUAUUAGGAAUAACGUAAUUCCAUACGUCCGACAAGUUUGCUGGCUAAAACAGGGGAAACACGAUGACAUCAGUGUUCAACCGUAAUUUUCGCAAGAUGGCUGCGCUGGCUGAACGUCUGCUAGUAUUUUCAUGGAUGAAAGAAGAGCCGACCGAAGGGAAUCAUCUAUCAUUAUCGGCUCUCAGGUGUCAACGUCGGAUGAAAUCGAAUUUUUUGUUACGAUCGACACCUCCGGAUCGCGUUCUCGUGACAAAACAGCACUCACGAUCAGAACCAAAAAGAAAAUGAAAAACAUCGUCUUUUUAUUACGCCUCUUUAACAAAUGGCCCUGCCGGUCGAGUCAUUCACGAUGAAAACAUUUUUCUAAUGGAAACUUUAACCUUCUUAUCAACGAAGUCUUUCGGACGACUAUUAUCCACAAGGUUCCUUCUUCCUUCUUUUUGCGGAAAUCCCGAUGAAACCACAGAUAAAUGAAAUGGCAAUUAACAACGUGACCAAAUGCAUAGGACGAUCGGUUUGCUGAAUGAAGCAGCAGCCUACGUGAUUCUCUUCUCUAAUAGCAAUCAAAGUAAUUAAUUAUCCAACGUCCAUCGCUUUCUCCCUCAAUCACGUCGACACGAGUUCCGACAUCAUCGGAGAUGACUAAGUAUCCGUUUUCCUUGCUUUUAUUCCGUCAUCUCGCUUUUCACAUUGCUUUCGCAAAGUUUUACGUAUCAUCUGUUAUAUUAAUUUCAUUUGGACGUAGUUACGUUGCAAAAUUUCGUACGAUUAUUAUCCAGCCGAUAAUAAUACAGAAGUGGCAAUUAUUAAACGUCCCAGCAAUUUCUACAUUUAAUUAAUACGUUAAUUGCAUGCUAGCCACACAAUAGCAGUUAUUGUCAUUUCGUUGACAACUUCAUUUAAAUUGUUCGAUGAAUUUUUCCGAAUGAAAGAGCAACGAGUCAACCUUUACCGAAACGUUUCUACAGUAAUAGCUACAUUAAUAUUGCAUGGCACAGGAAUGCAGUAAUUAACGAACAAUUAUUCAGAGCGAUGUAUGUACAUUCAUUAAUACGAUCGAUCGUCGAUACGUUGAUUAUUCAACGCUGUAAAAAUCAAGUAUCAAAAAAGGAAAUAUUUUAUGUCCCGUAACAUAAGCCAAACGAUAGAAUCGAUGUUAAAAAAUCUCUCUUAGCGUAAAAAUAUUUUUACGCCAUGAAAGUAGUCAUAGAUAGGAUAUUAAUAUCCUAGCAGAAGCGAUGAUCCAAUAAAACGAACGAGCUCAUCCGACCAAUACGAAAUAGUUUC
rnacentral:misc_RNA from 1 species